AAUAUUCAUAACACUCCCCCUUGGAUGUCCAUCGAGGAUAUGCCUCAUUAAAACCUUUACUAGAAAAAACCCGGUGGGAAAAAAAUUCUAGUGAAGGAAAAAGAGUACAACAUCCUUUGUGUUUGAACUGUCUAAUUAAAAACCUUACCAGGAAAACCCAAUGGGACAAAACCAUGGUUAAGGGAAAAAGAGUGCAGAACACAAUUAUAUCUCCCCCUCAUGAAGACAAU
rnacentral:lncRNA from 1 species